CAGUUUAACGGCCGCGGUAUUCUGACCGUGCAAAGAGUAGCAUAAUCACUUGUUCUCCAAAUAAGGACUUGUAUGAAUGGGCCACACGAGGGUUUUACUGUCUCUUACUUCCAAUCAGUGAAAUUGACCUUCCCGUGAAGAGGCGGGAAUAAAAAAAUAAGACGAGAAGACCCUAUGGAGCUUUAAUUAACUAUUCCAAAAGUUAA
rnacentral:rRNA from 1 species